AGCUUUGGGCAGUGGCAGUAUCGUAGCCAAUGAGGUUUAGCCGAGGCGCGAUUAUUGCUAAUUGAAAUAUUGGCUUACUUAACCCAUAGAUAUGGUGUGGAAACAGGCAGGUGACAGAAAGCAGUUUUGCAGGAUGCAAUUUUAAAAUGACUGCCUUUAAA
rnacentral:snRNA from 1 species